rnacentral:rRNA from 1 species
GUGCCAGCAGGCCGCGGUAAUACGGAGGGUGCAAGCGUUACUCGGAAUCACUGGGCGUAAAGAGCGUGUAGGCGGGUAUAUAAGUCAGAAGUGAAAUCCAAUAGCUUAACUAUUGAACUGCUUUUGAAACUGUAUACCUAGAAUGUGGGAGAGGUAGAUGGAAUUUCUGGUGUAGGGGUAAAAUCCGUAGAGAUCAGAAGGAAUACCGAUUGCGAAGGCGAUCUACUGGAACAUUAUUGACGCUGAGACGCGAAAGCGUGGGGAGCAAACAGGAUUAGAUACCCUGGUAGUCCACGCCCUAAACGAUGUUCACUAGUUGUUGUGAGGCUUGACCUUGCAGUAAUGCAGUUAACACAUUAAGUGUACCGCCUGGGGAGUACGGUCGCAAGAUUAAAACUCACAAGGAAUAGACGGGGACCCGCACAAGCGGUGGAGCAUGUGGUUUAAUUCGACGAUACACGAAGAACCUUACCUGGACUUGACAUAGUAAGAACUUUCUAGAGAUAGAUUGGUGUCUGCUUGCAGAAACUUAUAUACAGGUGCUGCACGGCUGUCGUCAGCUCGUGUCGUGAGAUGUUGGGUUAAGUCCCGCAACGAGCGCAACCCUCGUCAUUAGUUGCUAACAGUUC